UAAAGGGUGCGUAGGCGGCCUGUUAAGUCAGGGGUGAAAGACGGUAGCUCAACUAUCGCAGUGCCCUUGAUACUGAUGGGCUUGAAUUGACUAGAGGUAGGCGGAAUGUGACAAGUAGCGGUGAAAUGCAUAGAUAUGUCACAGAACACCGAUUGCGAAGGCAGCUUACUAUGGUCUUAUUGACGCUGAGGCACGAAAGCGUGGGGAUCAAACAGGAUUAGAUACCCGGU
rnacentral:rRNA from 1 species